UAAUUAAUGACGUGCUCCUUA
rnacentral:piRNA from 1 species